GUUCUGUUUUUCCUCUUCUAAUCCUUCACCCAUCUGAGCUAAAGUCUAGACCUAAGGAGGCUACUAAUUCAGGGAUCGAGUAAUCUGCCAAGCAAGAGUUUAUUCAAGCACAGUUUGAAAUAAAGGUUUCAAAUGCAUAGCCUGUCGAUACUUUGGAAGGAUUCUCAUCAUAACGAGAUAUGGGAGGACACCUGAGACGGCAGGCCAGAAGUCACUCAGUAGGAGAAACAUCCGUUAGAAGUAAUAAUGUGGGAUUGCUGAAGUAAAGACUAUAGGAAGAAAAAAGUGUCUGUGUGUAGGAAACGGAAAGGGAGAGAAAAAUACACUGAGAUGGUAAAGUAAGGAAGUGGAAGAUCAGCAGAAUGUGCAGAUGCCAAGCCAUCCAAGAAAAUCAUCUCUUGUGAUUGUUGCGAAGUCAACUAGCUAAUGUGACUCACUGCUAGGCUGUUGGAUCUGAGACUUAUGUGGGAUAAUUUAGAAACUUGCUAGUGUCUUAAGAUCAAUUACUCACCAAUGAGAGUGGCAUUGAACUGUGAAUGUUCCUCCUAGAUUUUCCAUGAAGACUAAUGGUUUUGUCUUGUCUUGAAUUUGUUUUAAUUACAAUUUGUAUACAUCCUGUUCCACCCUGAAAUUUUUAUUUUCCAAA
rnacentral:lncRNA from 1 species